AUGUCAUGCUUUGAUAUCACUAAAGGGAUUUGUGAGGAGAUCUCUUCCAUGAUAUGUCGUUUUUGGUGGAGUCAAAUGGAUGAAGAAAAUAAAUUACAUUGGGUUGCCUGGGACAAAUUAUCUAAGCCGAAGAAGGAUGGAGGUUUAGGUUUCGGAGAUCUCUAUUCCUUUAAUAUUGCUAUGCUAGCAAAGCAAGCCUGGAGGAUCCUUCUAAAUCCAGAGUCCCUAUGCGCUCAACUACUCAAGGCGAGAUACUUUCGGCACGAGGAUUUCUUGAAGGUCAUGCCAAAAAAGGGUAUCUCUUACACUUGGAGGAGUAUUCUUAAAGGUCGCGAUCUUAUCAAACAAGGCUUGAUCUGGCGUAUAGGUGAUGGCCAAAAAGUUAAUAUCUGGGAAGAUCCAUGGGUACCAAGAGGGAGUACUAGAAGACCUAGUACAGUUAGAGGCCAAAUUUUACUUCAGAAGGUUUGUGAUCUGAUCGACCCUAUUUCUGGACACUGA
rnacentral:rRNA from 1 species